AAACUAACAAGGAUUCCCCUAGUAACGGCGAGUGAACCGGGAAGAGCUCAAAUUUGUAAUCUGGCCCUUGGGUCCGAGUUGUAAUCUAUAGAGGCGUUUUCCGUGCCGGACCGUGUCCAAGUCCCUUGGAACAGGGUAUCAAAGAGGGUGACAAUCCCGUACUUGACACGACGACCGGUGCUCUGUGAUACGUCUUCAACGAGUCGAGUUGUUUGGGAAUGCAGCUCAAAAUGGGUGGUAAAUUCCAUCUAAAGCUAAAUAUUGGCGAGAGACCGAUAGCGAACAAGUACCGUGAGGGAAAGAUGAAAAGCACUUUGGAAAGAGAGUUAAACAGUACGUGAAAUUGUUAAAAGGGAAACGAUUGAAGUCAGUCGUGUUGGUCGGAUUCAGCCUGGUCUCCGGGUGUAUUUCCUUCCAACGGGUCAACAUCAGUUUGGAUCGGUGGAUAAAGACGGAGGGAAGGUGGCAUCCUCGGAUGUGUUAUAGCCCUCUGUUGCAUACGCUGGUCCGGACUGAGGCAUGCAGCUCGCCUUUAUGGCCGGGGUUCGCCCAC
rnacentral:rRNA from 1 species